rnacentral:sRNA from 1 species
UGCCUAACCCUCGUGAGUCAAACUCCGAGGUAUGGCAAGAGAGUCCGUCCAAGGCACUGAACCCCGUAUCAGCAAGCCUUGGACGGCCAUGGUCUGAAAGGACUAUGUGUGGCGAAAGCCAC